rnacentral:rRNA from 1 species
CCUACGGGGUGCACCAGUGGGGAAUAUUGGACAAUGGGCGAAAGCCUGAUCCAGCAAUGCCGCGUGUGUGAAGAAGGUCUUCGGAUUGUAAAGCACUUUCGACGGGGACGAUGAUGACGGUACCCGUAGAAGAAGCCCCGGCUAACUUCGUGCCAGCAGCCGCGGUAAUACGAAGGGGGCUAGCGUUGCUCGGAAUGACUGGGCGUAAAGGGCGCGUAGGCGGUUUAUGCAGUCAGAUGUGAAAUCCCCGGGCUCAACCUGGGAACUGCAUCUGAUACUGGCAAGCUUGAGUCUCGUAGAGGGUUGUGGAAUUCCCAGUGUAGAGGUGAAAUUCGUAGAUAUUCGGAGGAACACCAGUGGCGAAGGCGGCUUACUGGUCUGCAACUGACGCUGAGGCGCGAAAGCGUGGGGAGCAAACAGGAUUAGAUACCCGGGUAGUC